UCGGGUGUGAAAUUUCGGAGCUUAACUCCGAAACUGCAUUCGAUACUGGCGUGCUUGAGGACUGGAGAGGAGACUGGAAUUUACGGUGUAGCAGUGAAAUGCGUAGAUAUCGUAAGGAAGACCAGUGGCGAAGGCGGGUCUCUGGACAGUUCCUGACACUGAGACACGAAGGCCAGGGGAGCAAACGGGAUUAGAUACCCCGGUAGUCCUGGCAGUAAACGGUGCACGUUUGGUGUGGGAGGAUUCGACCCCUUCUGCGCCGGAGCCAACGCGUUAAACGUGCCGCCUGGGGAGUACGGUCGCAAGAUUAAAACUCAAAGAAAUUGACGGGGGCCCGCACAAGCGGUGGAGUAUGUGGCUCAAUUCGAUGCAACGCGAAGAACCUUACCAGGCCUUGACAUGCAUCUCUAAGUUGGUGAAAGCCAGCGAGUGUCGAAAGACACAAUUUGCACAGGUGCUGCAUGGCUGUCGUCAGCUCGUGUCGUGAGAUGUUGGGUUAAGUCCCGCAACGAGCGCAACCCCUGUGAACUGUUGCCACGGAACCGAGAGGUUCCAGCACUCUGUUCAGACUGCCUCGCUUAAACGAGGAGGAAGGUGGGGACGACGUCAAGUCAGUAUGGCCCUUACGGCCUGGGCUGCACACGUACUACAAUGCCCAGUACAGAACGAUCCAAUACCGCGAGGUGGAGGAAAUCACUUAAAACUGGGCCCAGUUCGGAUUGGAGGCUGCAAUUCGCCUCCAUGAAGCCGGAAUCGCUAGUAAUGGCGUAUCAGCUACGACGCCGUGAAUACGUUCCCGGGCCUUGUACACACCGCCCGUCACAUCAUGAAAGCCGUUUGUACCCGAAGUCACACCUUAAAAUGUGCCGAAGGUAUGGAUGGUGAUUGGGAUGAAGUCGUAACAAGGUAAC
rnacentral:rRNA from 1 species